UGCGACUAAUCUGACGCAAAUGUUGGACUUUAUGAAGAGCGACCAGUGGAAGUUAAUUAAUACACAAGACUGGUUUUUGUUUUGUAUCUGUAAGAAUUGAGCAUUGCGCAUUUGGAUAACCCUGAGUGGGUUCGUAACCGGUUGCCAUUGCGGGAGCAGUUCCGAAAACAGUUUGCGGGUGUAUUUGCCAACCUAUUUGUACGACAAUUUCAAUUUAACUCGAAGUUGAACAGCUGUUGCAAGAUCAAACAGUCGAAUUAUGUGCAAAUAUAUGGGAUAAAGCACAGUCGAGCCCCAGCUGAGACGCCAAUCGAAGCGAAUUUUGCCCACAAUCGACAGACUUUA